GAUGAACGCUGGCGGCGUGCCUAAUACAUGCAAGUCGAGCGGACAGACGAGGAGCUUGCUCCUCUGACGUUAGCGGCGGACGGGUGAUUAACACGUGGCUACCCUACCUGUAAUACUUGCAUAACUUCGGGACACCGGAGCUAUUACCAGCUCAUAUAUUAAGGCGCAUGGUUCAAUAGUUAAAGACGGUUUUGCUGUCCCUUAUCCAUUCAUCCGCGCCGCAUUGGCUAGUUGUUCCGGUAACGGGUUACCAAGGCAACGAUGCGUAGCCGACCUGAGAGGGUGAGCGGCCACACUGGAACUGAGACACGCUCCACACGCCUACGGGAGGCACCAGUAGGGAAUCUGCCGCAAUGGGCGAAAGCCUGACGGAGCUGCGCGGCGUGAGUGAUGAAGGUCUUCGGGUCGUAAAACUCUGCUAUCAGGGAAGAAAAAAUGUUCAAGUGACAAGGCGCGUCUUGAAGGUAACUAAUCAAAGAGCCACGGCUAACUUCGUG
rnacentral:rRNA from 1 species